rnacentral:rRNA from 1 species
AACGAACGCUGGCGGCGUGCCUAACACAUGCAAGUCGAACGAGAUCUUCGGGUCUAGUGGCGCACGGGUGCGUAACGCGUGGGAAUCUGCCCUUUGGUUCGGAAUAACAGUUGGAGACGACUGCUAAUACCGGAUGAUGACGAAAGUCCAAAGAUUUAUCGCCAGAGGAUGAGCCCGCGUAGGAUUAGCUAGUUGGUGUGGUAAAGGCGCACCAAGGCGACGAUCCUUAGCUGGUCUGAGAGGAUGAUCAGCCACACUGGGACUGAGACACGGCCCAGACUCCUACGGGAGGCAGCAGUGGGGAAUAUUGGACAAUGGGCGAAAGCCUGAUCCAGCAAUGCCGCGUGAGUGAUGAAGGCCUUAGGGUUGUAAAGCUCUUUUACCCGGGAUGAUAAUGACAGUACCGGGAGAAUAAGCUCCGGCUAACUCCGUGCCAGCCGCCGCAGUAA